GUAUUUACUUGGCAGAGAAAAUAGCGUGAUCAGAAGGGUGGUUUAUGGUAGGGGGAGGAUUAGUCAGUUGCACUCAGAACGUGCUGACCCUCUGCGAUUUACCCAAAUGCGGAGAACUCGACUGCAUAAUUUGUGGUAGUGGGGGACUGCGUUCGCACUUGCUCCUG
rnacentral:snRNA from 1 species